ensembl:lncRNA
AUCUUGUCUCAAAUUAAAAACUGUCACAUUUUAAAGUUUUAUUAAAAUUGUAUUUAUAAAUUUCAGAGCUGCUGUUCAACACAAAACUUCAGAGGAAGACAAAGACAGAUGUUCAGACACUGAGAUCAAACUGUUCAGAUCCAUCAUGGAUGAACCAAAAAACAUCUGGCGAUAACCGUUCUUUUCCAGGACACAGUUCAGUUCAUCAGAAGAGAUCAGUAGCAGAGCCCAGCUGUGUGUCUAUGAUGAGUGACUGGUCUAUGCGUGAACCAGUAAAGUUUAACAGUGGAGAUACACGGCCUGAUCUCAGCUCAGUUCAUCACAAGAGAUCAGAAGCAGAGUUCAGCUGUGUGUCUGUGAAGAGUGAUGCGUCUAUGCGUGAACCAUUGAAGUUUAACAGUGGAGAUACACGGCCUGUUCUUAGUUCUGUUUAUCAAAAGAGAUCAGAAGCAGAGUCCAGCUGUGUGUCUGUGAAGAGGGACAGGUCUAUGGUUUGUCAAGAACAAUUCAAGAGCGGAGAUACAUGGCCUGAUCUCAGGUAUAAUAUUUCUGUAAAAGAUAUGAUUUGAAGAUAUUAUAGAGAAUAUAUGAGACAUUAUUAACUCCUGCAAUUAUGUGGAAUUAUUAUUUUACAGCAAUAAAGCCCUCAACAUGUUUAGACCA